CCUACGGGUGGCAGCAGUGAGGAAUAUUGGUCAAUGGCCGCAGGGCUGAACCAGCCAAGUCGCGUGAGGGAUGACGGUCCUAUGGAUUGUAAACCUCUUUUGUCAGGAAGCAAAGGGCGCCACGUGUGGCGGUUUGCGAGUACGUGAAGAAAAAGCAUCGGCUAACUCCGUGCCGGCAGCCGCGGUAAUACGGAGGAUGCGAGCGGUACCCGGAAUCAUUGGGCGUAAAGAGGGAGCAGGGGGCCUGGUGGGUCUAUUGUUAAAAGGCAAUGGCGUAACCAUUGUAAGGCGAUGAAACCGGCAGGCUAGAGUUCUAAAGAGGAUCGUGGAAUUCCAGGUGUAGCGGUGAAAUGCGUAGAUAUAUGGAGGAACACCAGUGGCGAAGGCGACGAUCUGGGAAGAAACAGACGCUGAGUCGCGAAAGCGUGGGGAGCAAAUAGGAUUAGAUACCCUUGUAGUC
rnacentral:rRNA from 1 species